rnacentral:misc_RNA from 1 species
UGUAUGAGUUGUGWUUGGGWUGUUUUUGCUGGCUGGCUCCAUGCUUUUGCAUCGAACGGUUGGCAUGCAAUCCUGUUUCAAGUGAACGUCCCUUUUAGUUGCGUGAUUGCGGUUCCUGUGUUGACUACCUCUUGAAUGGUAUUCGUGUGGCUUGUCGGAUUUCGUCCAUCCAGACCUCCUUGAGGGGGUUCUGGGGGAUCUCGAAGUGAUGCAUGUGUUCCACGUUUGUGAUUCAUUCUUGAAGCAAUCGUGGCGCAUAUGUUUUUGUUGCUCUCUCGGAUGCGGUGCAUGAGAUGAAACAUGGGAAAUUCUUCUUCCAUGCAGUCCCUUUAAUCUUGGUUGCCUUGAAUGACACUUGCCUCUGCGCUUGCUUGCUCUCCAUUCGUGGUUGCAUGCAAGCGCCGAUGAGCAAAGUUGUUAAUGGAUG